AUGCACACUGACACUCCCUUACCCAGCACAGCAUCUUUCACACUGUGCAAACACUCAAAUACUGGUGGAAAGAACGAAAGGAUGGAUCUCAGUAACUUGUUGCUGUCAUUCAGAAGAUGGAGAACAUGCCGCGGGUCCUGCUUCUUCCCCAGAUGCAACGAGGGCAGGGAUCCCUGGACACUGAUGGGAACCAAGGAAGGAUGGCUAGGCAGAUGGCACAUCAAAGCACACGACAAUGCCCUUCUCAUGGCCGAUGGUCCAGGAAAAGCGCGGUGA
rnacentral:lncRNA from 1 species